rnacentral:lncRNA from 1 species
UGCGCACAUGAAUAUGAAUUGACGGACCCGGAUUUGUACACUUAGGUGUACCCCUGAAUAUCCAUCGAAAUUCCAAGUAGUUCAACGGGAUAAAUAUGGAAAAAUAACAAGGAAAUGGAAAUCAUGGAAUUGAUGAGCUCAUCAAUCAUUUAUCUUUGUAAUGAAUUUGUAUGAGGUUGAGUUUGUAUGUGAUAGGUAUAUGUUUAUGUGAAUUGGAUGUGUGCUUGUGUUAUUAAAUGAUGGAUGUAUAAGUAUG